GGGCCCGCCCGAUGCGCUGGGGGAAAAUACUGGAGCGCGGGCCCCCACGGGCCCACGGGGAGGCGAAGGGCAGAAGCGGGGGCCUUUCGAGCCAGCCUGAGCCUGAGUGCAAGCUCUGUCCCUCAAGCUCAGGACUAGGCGCUUUUGGGCGCAAAGCGAGUCGCCCACAGAACUCGCGCGCUGGAGGAACCUGAGUCUGGGAGGGGAGAGAUUUGGAGAAACCGCAUCUCAGCUCCACGAAGGCAGUGGUUUUUGUCUGUUCUCUGCUGUAUUCCCAGUGCCUGAAAUGUGGUUGGCAGGAAACAUUCGUUUUGGCCACACAUGAACGUGUGGGCACGCAGGCGUGUGUGUGCGUCUCUGUGUGUGCAUGCACUGGAUCUUUAUGCAAAGGAUGUAUGGGAACCACAGAAGGUUUUCCCACUUGGAUCUAUUAACUGCAGGACGGGCGACCUUCACAGGGCCACAGCCUGUCGUAACAAACUGGUGAGUAAAGCCAAAGAUGGCUGUGAGGUUCCCU